CAUUAUCUCAUGUAUGUGUGAUGGCAUCAGAUGUAACCAAAGGUCAUGAGGCCAUGAGAGGCACUGAGCCAUAACUCCAGCCAUCAAUAAAUGAAAGAGAGAGAGAAAAAAUUGAGGCUGGGUCCCUCUGUUGUAGCCCUGGCUGUCCUGGGACUCUGUAGACCAGGCUGACCUUGAACUUACAGAGAUCAGCCUGCCUCCGCUUCCUGACUGCUAGAAUUAAAGGCAUGCAAAACCAUGCCCAACAAUUCAAAACAAAACAAAGUGAAAAAUGUGAAGGCACUGAAGUCAUUUGAAGUUUGAAGAAUAAGUAUACAUAUACAUUCUGACUUCAUACAAGUCACAUGUGGACUUUUUUUUUUUUUUUUUAGAAGUUUUGUUUCUUGGCGGCAGUCUCCAAUCUCUGUUAACCUUUGACACCUGGGAAUCCAGAUUGACUUCCUAACAUAGGAGUAUGCCCCUGUCCCCAAAAGGGGCCCAAACUUCAGAAUCUCCAUUUCGACAAGGUCCGCUUGUCUGGGGGGAAAACCCUACUCUACUCAGAAUCUGUAGAAUAUUCUGUUACAUUUAGGCAAAAAGGGCCUGCCCUGGGCCCAGAACUUUAGGGCAAUCCUUCCUACCUUGUCUUCUCUGGCUGUGUCCUACUUAACUAAUGGAAGAUUCCAGAGGCUAAGGAGAUGUGGCCACCCAGAGUCAACCCCCUAUUCCGUUCUCUGAGCACUAAGACUCAGUACUACUGCCCAAGGCAAAGGGGCAUUUUUAAAUCUUAAUGAUUGCUAUGACCUUUUUUUUUUUUUUUCAAUUAAAAAUUAGAUUGUGGGUGUGGUGGUACACAUACGUAGUUCCAACACUUGGGAGGUGGAAGGGAAGAGUAUCAAGUCAUACAUGGC
rnacentral:lncRNA from 1 species